rnacentral:rRNA from 1 species
UGCUAAGGUAGCACAAUAACUUGCCCUAUAAUUAAGGGAUAGAAUGAAAGGAUACACGAUUUAUUAACUUUUUCUAAAAUAAUGUAUAAAAUUUACAUAUAUGUAAAAAGUCAUUCAUAUAAAAGAAGGACGACAAGACCCUGUUGAACUUUACAUUUAGUUAUGCUGGGAAGGCAAAAAAUUAAAACUUUACAAUUACCAAAAUCUAGACCUGGGAAAAUACCAAUAUAUAGAAAAAGUUACCACAGGGAUAACAGCGCAAUUUUACUUAAGAGCACAUAUUUAAAGUAAAGAUUACGACCUCGAUGUUGAAUUAAUUUAACUUCUCCAAGCAAAAAUGAUAAAAGUAGGUCUGUUCGACCUUUAAUAAAUUACAUGAUCUGAG